rfam:Ailuropoda melanoleuca scaffold161_17, whole genome shotgun sequence.
GCCUGGCUGGCUCAGUCAGUAGAGUGUGUGACUCUUGAUCUUGGGGUUGUAAGUUCGAGCCCCACGCUGGGCG